AGUGAACGCUGGCGGUAGGCCUAACACAUGCAAGUCGAACGGCAGCACAGUAAGAGCUUGCUCUUACGGGUGGCGAGUGGCGGACGGGUGAGGAAUACAUCGGAAUCUACUUUUUCGUGGGGGAUAACGUAGGGAAACUUACGCUAAUACCGCAUACGACCUACGGGUGAAAGCAGGGGAUCUUCGGACCUUGCGCGAAUGAAUGAGCCGAUGUCGGAUUAGCUAGUUGGCGGGGUAAAGGCCCACCAAGGCGACGAUCCGUAGCUGGUCUGAGAGGAUGAUCAGCCACACUGGAACUGAGACACGGUCCAGACUCCUACGGGAGGCAGCAGUGGGGAAUAUUGGACAAUGGGCGCAAGCCUGAUCCAGCCAUACCGCGUGGGUGAAGAAGGCCUUCGGGUUGUAAAGCCCUUUUGUUGGGAAAGAAAAGCAGCAGGUUAAUACCCCGCGGUUCUGACGGUACCCAAAGAAUAAGCACCGGCUAACUUCGUG
rnacentral:rRNA from 1 species